rnacentral:antisense_RNA from 1 species
UUUCAUAGUAGUUGCGCGCAGGGCGCCUUCGGGCGCGCCGGUUUGGUACUCCCAGGUCGACUAACCUGCGUACAGCUGCCACCCCU